AGUCCGCCAUGUUGGUUUCCCUUCAGGUCCCGAUCCGCCAUGUUGGUUUCCCUUCAGGUCCCAGUCCGCCAUGUUGGUUUCCCUUCGGGUCCCAGUCCGCCAUGUUGGUUUCCCUUCAGGUCCCACGGUCCCAGUCCGCCAUGUUGGUUUCCCUUCGGGUCCCACGGUCCCAGUCCGCCAUGUUGGUUUCCCUUCGGGUCCCAGUCCGCCAUGUUGGUUUCCCUUCAGGUCCCACGGUCCCAGUCCGCCAUGUU